CUCUUCGUUCCGUCUCCAACUGCUUUCGUCUGAAACCUCCGCCAUGGUUUCUGCAACACCUCCACCAUGAAAGAAGAACAACAGCUACGACAAAUGAGACCUAACAGCAGAUUUCAACCCAGCAACCAUUGCAAUUGCUUUCCAUUCCUUAUGCUACGGAACACCUGAGGCCUUAACAUCACUUUCCAACUCAGAAUCCUUUCGUCAGAGGAUCGUGCAUUCUAUAUUGGAGGACUUCAUGAACAUGUUAAAGGGUCGGAAUCUGCAAGCGCAGUACUACCACCUUCGGGGCCGUUCAAACAUCAUGCAGAUGGGGACGGAGUGCAAAGGAAUAGAUUCAGACUGUACUUUGGACCUUCUAAGAGAGGGAAAGAGCAUGCGGGCAAUACACCUCCUCCAAAGGAAUUCUAACCAUCAUAUUUCGGACCCUCUGAGAGUGGGAAAGGUCAUAAGAUCAAACAAUACAGCUCCUUUACGUGAUUAAAGCCGAUUAAGACUUAAAAAUGUUGUGUACGUUGUCUAUCUCAUCUCGACGAUGGAGUUUUUCUCCUUUUAUUUAAGCUCUAUAAUUAGCAAAGAACCAUUUUUUCCCAAUUUUUUUUAUCAAUUAUAAAAAUCAUUAGGCC